ACUGCCUGGGCGAGGAGGAGCUGGAGAAGCCUGGCGAUGAGUUGAGACCGCCUCCAUGCCGACAUGCCCCUGCUGUAGACAUGGCCCUGCUGUAACCUAUCCCUGUUGAGUGAGGGGCGCAGAGGCAGGCAGCGGCGGCGGCGGCGGCGGCGGCGGAGGGGCUCACACCCAGGCCGACUGGCGCCAGCCGCAGCCCUCUCCAGCUCCAGGCGCUGCAGAGCGGGGUGUAAAUCCCUCCUGGCCGCGGCCUCCGCCCCCAGCCUCCCUGCACUGGAACUCAGCUAUUUCGGAGGUUCCCGGGGGACAGCGUUUCCUGCCUCUGGCGGAAAAAUCUGCAGAAAAUGAGAACCCUGUGGUCUGGCUCCAACACAGCCCUGAGCCUGUGACAGAGAAGAGUUCUUUUCUUAGUCUUCUUCUCUCUCCGUCUCUGUCGUCCCGUCUCUCUCUCCCCCUCUUUUAUUUUGUAGUUUGUAGUUUGUAAUUUUUAUUUUUGAGACAGGUUUUCACUCUGUAGCUCGGGAUGGCAUUGAACUCAUGGUGGUCCUCCUGCUUCAGCCUGGGUAGUGCUGGGAUUGCAGGAUCUUCUGGUUGUCCUGGAACUCCAUCUGUAGACUGGGCCUGCGUCUGCCUCCAGAGUCCCGGUGGUUGAUGUGGGAACUCGCAGCCCCCUGUGGGUGAUGGGAGCCUGAGCAGGUGGUCCUCCUUCUAUAAGGAAGCAGGCUGAGAGAGCCGUGGGGAGUAAGCCAAUGAGCAGCUUUCCUGUGUGGCCUCUGCUUCCGUUCCUGCCUGCAGCUUCCUGCCUUGUGUUCCUGCUCUGACUCCCCUUGGUGACAGAGUAUGACCUGAGUGUAAGCUGGAGCCAGGCCUUCCUGCAUUUGCUUGCAGCCUUUAACUCGGCAACAGAAACCUAAGGAAAACAG